rnacentral:rRNA from 1 species
AUUGAACGCUGGCGGCAGGCCUAACACAUGCAAGUCGAGCGGAUGAAGGGAGCUUGCUCCUGGAUUCAGCGGCGGACGGGUGAGUAAUGCCUAGGAAUCUGCCUGGUAGUGGGGGAUAACGUCCGGAAACGGGCGCUAAUACCGCAUACGUCCUGAGGGAGAAAGUGGGGGAUCUUCGGACCUCACGCUAUCAGAUGAGCCUAGGUCGGAUUAGCUAGUUGGUGGGGUAAAGGCCUACCAAGGCGACGAUCCGUAACUGGUCUGAGAGGAUGAUAAGUCACACUGGAACUGAGACACGGUCCAGACUCCUACGGGAGGCAGCAGUGGGGAAUAUUGGACAAAGGGCGAAAGCCUGAUCCAGCCAUGCCGCGUGUGUGAAGAAGGUCUUCGGAUUGUAAAGCACUUUAAGUUGGGAGGAAGGGCAGUAAGUUAAUACCUUGCUGUUUUGACGUUACCAACAGAAUAAGCACCGGCUAACUUCGUG